AUGAACGCUGGCGGCGUGCCUAAUACAUGCAAGUCGAGCGAACAGACGAGGAGCUUGCUCCUCUGACGUUAGCGGCGGACGGGUGAGUAACACGUGGAUAACCUACCUAUAAGACUGGGAUAACUUCGGGAAACCGGAGCUAAUACCGGAUAAUAUAUUGAACCGCAUGGUUCAAUAGUGAAAGACGGUUUUGCUGUCACUUAUAGAUGGAUCCGCGCCGCAUUAGCUAGUUGGUAAGGUAACGGCUUACCAAGGCAACGAUGCGUAGCCGACCUGAGAGGGGAACCGGCCAAAUUGGACCGAAGAACGGGCCCAGCCCCCUCGGGGGGGCAGCAGAGGGGAACUUUCCGAAAUGGGGGAAAGCCGGAGGGGGCAACGCCGGGUGGGGAAUAAAGGUUUUGGGAUCGUAAACCUUUUUUUUUGGGGAAAAAAAAAUGUGAAAGUAACUUUCCCCGUCUGGACGGUACCAAACAAAAAAGCCACGGCUAACUACGG
rnacentral:rRNA from 1 species